GUAGCUCAGUGACAGAGCAUUUGGCUAGCAGACAUAAGGCCCUGGGUUCAAUCCCCAGC
rnacentral:tRNA from 1 species